rnacentral:antisense_RNA from 1 species
UUAAUUAAUGUACUAGACUUUAUCCUCCUGCAUUUUGAGGAUCACCCCACUUCUGACUUCCCUUUAUUUUUCCUAAUCUUAAUGUUCUUUUUGUCUUGUUUUCUAGUCCGUUUAAUUUUUAUAUGUUCUCAUUACGGUGAACUGCCUUAAAUGUUUUCUAGCAUAAGGCAUAUAAAUAACGUAUUAAGGGUGACAGCAGCAAUAUGCAUAAAAUAAUAUGGCUAGUAGGCAGAGGGUCAACUACUUCCAGGAAAGAAAAGAGGGGAUUUUUGAGGUGGGUCUUGAGGAAUAAGUGGAGUGUCACCUGAUAGAAAAGGCAGGAAAAGGCAAUCUGUGCAGAUUAAGAGAGAAGUCCUCAUUGUCUCUCACCAGGGCCACUGAAGAAGUAGCAGACACAGGAUGCAUAAUAGGGAAGAGCAGGAACUCUGCAGGUGGUCUCCCUGCCUUUGACCCUCUAUAACUUACUAUCUGUGCGACCUUAGGCAAGCUAACCUGUGUCUGUUUCAUCUGUAAAAUGGGGAUAACAAUUAGAAUAAUACCUAACAGCACUACGUAAACGUUAGUAAGUGGCGAGGAAACUUAGCUCCUCAUUUUCUCUUCCUCUAAUCAUUCUGCACAAAGCAGAGACAGUGUGUAUGUGGUUUUUUUUUUUUUUUUUUUUUUAUGAGACAGGG